CAGCAGCCGCGGGAAUACGGAGGGAGCUAGCGUUGUUCGGAAUUACUGGGCGUAAAGCGCGCGUAGGCGGUUACUCAAGUCAGAGGUGUAAGCCCGGGGCUCAACCCCGGAACUGCCUUUGAAACUAGGUGACUAGAAUCUUGGAGAGGUCAGUGGAAUUCCGAGUGUAGAGGUGAAAUUCGUAGAUAUUCGGAAGAACACCAGUGGCGAAGGCGACUGACUGGACAAGUAUUGACGCUGAGGUGCGAAAGCGUGGGGAGCAAACAGGAUUAGAUACCCCAGUAGUCCCUGUCUCUUAUAC
rnacentral:rRNA from 1 species